rnacentral:rRNA from 1 species
UUGCCAGACUCCUACGGGAGGCAGCAGUGAGGAAUAUUGGUCAAUGGGCGAGAGCCUGAACCAGCCAAGUCGCGUGAGGGAAGACGGUCCUACGGGUUGUAAACCUCUUUUGUCAGGGAGCAAGAACGGAUACGUGUAUCCGAGCGAGAGUACCUGAAGAAAAAGCAUCGGCUAACUCCGUGCCAGCAGCCGCGGUAAUACGGAGGAUGCGAGCGUUAUCCGGAUUUAUUGGGUUUAAAGGGUGCGUAGGCGGACUACCAAGUCAGCGGUAAAAUUGCGGGGCUCAACCCCGUCGAGCCGUUGAAACUGGCGGUCUUGUGUGGGCGAGAAGUAUGCGGAAUGCGUGGUGUAGCGGUGAAAUGCAUAGAUAUCACGCAGAACUCCGAUUGCGAAGGCAGCAUACCGGCGCCCGACUGACGCUGAAGCACGAAAGCGUGGGUAUCGAACAGGAUUAGAUACCCUUGUAU